rnacentral:rRNA from 1 species
CCCUUAGAUGUUCUGGGCCGCACGCGUGCUACACUGAGUGGAUCAGCGGGUCAGGUUGCGCGAAAGUGUUUCCUAAUCUUGAAAUCCGCUCGUGAUGGGGAUUGACGGUUGCAAUUUUCCGUCAUGAACGAGGAAUACCUUGUAAGCACGGGUCAUCAUCCCGCGCUGAAUACGUCCCUGCCCUUUGUACACACCGCCCGUCGCUCCUACCGAUUGAGUGGUCCGGUGAGGCUUUGGGAUCUGAGCGGAAAGAGCGUUUCGCUGUUUCUGCUCGGAAAACUCAGUCGAACCUUAUCAUUUAGAGGAAGGAGAAGUCGUAACA